rnacentral:rRNA from 1 species
CGCUAGUAAUCGCGAAUCAGAAUGUCGCGGUGAAUACGUUCCCGGGUCUUGUACACACCGCCCGUCACACCAUGGGAGUCAGUAACGCCCGAAGUCAGUGACCCAACCUUAUGGGAGGGAGCUGCCGAAGGCGGGACCGAUAACUGGGGUGAAGUCGUAACAAGGUAAC